GGGAUUAGGUGGAGAUGUAUUCAUACAGAUGAAACACACACACACUCACUCACAAUCACUCACACACACCCUGACAGACAGACACAGGGUGUAAAGACACCUGUAGGUAAAACACACACCCCCGUAGCAAACACACAAGCCAAACACACACUCUCUCUCUCUCUCACACACACACACACCCUGAUAGACAGACACAGGGUGUAAAGACACCUAUAGGUAAAACACUCAUCUCCAUAGCUAACACACACACACAAACCAAACACAUACACUCACACCCACUCUCUCUCUCACACCCACUUGUUGUGUAUUUGGUUGUCAUGCUUUUUGUUCCCAUGGCAACUGAGUUCGAUUUUUAGGGGAUAGCCUACCCUGCUUUGGCCGGUUAGGUGAGCUCUGUGUGUGUAAAUAAAUGAUAGUUUUGUUAGCUGUCUGCUGUCCGGCCUCCAAUGAUUUCUUCCUAGACCGGCUGCCCCCGAGGAUAUAACACGUGGCGACGAGGGUGGGAUUCCGGUGCUGCUCCGGAAACAGAAGGAAGUAGAAGUCAAGGAGCCUGUGACGGGGUGCACUUGCCCCGCACUGGAGAGGAAGGGGUUAAGCCUGCACUCCUGCCAGCGGAAGCCAGGCCCCCUCGCCCAGCUGGGCACGCUCCAGUAUAAAAGGGCGCGGGCAGCCUCACUCCAGGCUGACCGCCAGCGAGGAAGGACGCACCUCGCCGGCUCCAGCCCGGGAACAGCCAAAACCCCUGAGUGCGGGAGCCAGAGGCGCCGAGACCCAGGCAGACGCCCGGGUACCUGCGGGCGCACGAGGGAGGUCGGCACGGCCAGGACCAGAGCUGGCUGAGGACCCCGGAGACCCCAAGGGCGUCCAGACGGCAGCAUUGGGGAAUGAAGUAGGAAGUAGCCCAGGGGAGCUAGGCAGGGGGCCGGUUACAGAACCGGAUCAUGGGCUGGCGUGUUUCGCUCGGCGCCUCGCUGACUCGGUGCCACGUGCACUCGCCGCUACCGGGGCUUGGUGGGACCCGCUGGAGAGGGAGGGCCCAGGCCCCCCUACUCCUGCCGCCCUCUGCAGGUGGCAGCUCACCUCCCCGACUCUGACCAUUAGGCCGCAGAGCCCUGCUAAGGAGGGCAACUUCACUGACUCUGGACACUCGGUCACUCAACUCUGCUAAGGAGGGCAGCCAUACAGACUGGGGUCACAGGGCAAUGAUAUUGACUCCAGCCAUUGGGCCAUACUGCCCUGAGGCUAAGGGCAGGCAAGCGGACUUAACUGUGGAUCUGUGACGUCUUUGCCCCACCUCAAAGGGGGACGGGGUGUACUUGCCCCACGACAUCGAAAACCAUCCAGACGGGCUGAGGUGGGUCCAAGCCAACCUUGAAGAAACACUGGGAAAUAUCGAAAACGAUCGCUUAAAACUGGACCCAGCUGGAGAAACCCCCCAGCGGGUGCAAAUUCAGAAAAAGUGGGACUUCUAUUCCACUGGGAGUUUGUUAAUGUGUCCCAAGCGGCCUGGAGGCACCGAGGCCAUGGAGAACAACCAACAACAAGUAGAUGUUCUUGGAAACGCAGAUUCUUGACUUGACUCUGGUCUGUGAAGACUAGGGACAGAUUUUUAAAGAUUAAAUACAAUAGAUGCCAA